CUUCCUCUUCUUUUCCCCCCUCCACUGACUCUAUUCUAAAUCCUUUCACUACACUUAUCCUUCAUCCAAACAUCACCUUACCUCCCUUAAUUCCUUCUUCACUCUCCCAAAAAUUCACCAAUUUUGUUACUUUCAGAAAUUUCCCAAACCCUUUUGCCCAAAUUUCUUGACCUUCUCUAUUAUCUUUGAAACCUUUCUUUCCUCCUCCUAUACCACUCCAAAUUAUUGAAGAUGAUGAUAAUCCUAGUGACAGAUAUGAUAUUCCUAUUGCAGAGUUAAUCCCCAGAAGGUUAAGGUCCAAGUUCCCAAGAAAACCCC
rnacentral:lncRNA from 1 species